rnacentral:pre_miRNA from 1 species
GACACCUAUCAUUUUGAUUGUUGCUCGAAAUUCCGUGUAUUUGUUAUGGCUUUCGAAUAAUAAUUAAAGACAAAUGUGUC